rnacentral:rRNA from 1 species
AUGUGUCCCCUUGCUGAAUGGCCAUCCCAUGCUCGCCGCAACUGUGCGCUACUACAGGAUGAAGCUGGUGGACAGAAGAAGAAAGGGCGAGGUGUUCUAAAAGGUUUUAAAGCAUCUAAGAAGCGUUUUGCCAAUGGAUCUGCAAAGCUAAAUAUUACAUUCUCUGGAAAAUUGGGUGGUAUAGUAGGAAUGAACUAUCGUUCGUUCAAGGAUGACGUGGUAGUCAUAAUGAAAAGAAAGUUACCACUCAUUGGAGUGAGGACGUGCUCCACUUACAAGGCAUACAAAACAGAUGCAGCUAGAUUGGCUAAUCUGCCAGAAGAUUUGCAACCAGAAGAGUGGGAAUGGAUGAUUGAGUACUUUGGCACUGAUUCAAAAUUUCAGGAUCGCAGCCAAAAGAACGCCGAUAACCGUAAGAAACAGAAGACAAAACACAUAAUCGGAUCAAAAUCUUACUCGCAAGUUAGUUUUGAGAAGAGAAACUUGGAAACUGGAGAAGAGCCAGAUUGUAUUGCUCUGUGGGAACUCACCCACAAGAACGAUGGAACAUGGUCUAACACAGAUUCCCAGAAAGUUUACGACAAAGCACUUCAAGAGGUUAAAAUCAAAGAAACUGAAAUUGAAGGUCCACUUUCAAGUGAGCAGAAAAUCAAUAUUUUCCAGACCGCUUACAAAGACACUCUGGAAUGCAAGUCAUCGCUGCCUCGUGGGUACGGAUACAUGGCCAAAACUUCAACUGGUUCUGAAAGGUUUCGUAUCCAGAUCGAAGAGCAAGCUCGUGCUACAGCAGCCACCCAGGAGCAAAACUCUCAGCUCAGCCAGCAGGUCAACGAAUUAGAAGAUCAACUACAAGCUGAACAUGCAAACACACAAGAGAGGAUUAACUUGGAGCGUGCUUAG